rnacentral:rRNA from 1 species
UACGUAGGAAGCAAGCGUUGUCCGGUAAUUACUGGCGUAAAGCGCGUGUAGGCGGUACGACAAGUCUGCUGUGAAAGCGCCCCGGCUUAACCGGGCGAGGUCGGUGGAAACUGUCGCACUGGAGGCCGGUAGAGGGGGGGGUGGAAUUCCCGGUGUAGUGGUGAAAUGCGUAGAGAUCGGGAGGAACACCUGUGGCGAAGGCGGCCCCCUGG